AUAUAGUACUAAUCAGGGGCGUACAUAUAAAUCAUUGGGCCCCAUAGCAAGAAUCUGAAUUGGGCCCCCUAACUCCGCCCACUAGCCAACCCUUGGCCCAUCCCUGUGCCCCACGUUCAGCACGCAGGCCACAGGGAGUACAAGCUUACACACAGCCCCAGAGAAUAAAGAGUUAAAGCAGUGACGUCACCUCUUUCUGCAAAACAAGAACGUUUCUGAAAACUGGAAUCACAGGAAGGGGGAAGACGACAACAUCGCCCCCCCUGACAGCCACAAGCAGAACAGCAUUUCCCCGAAUGAUAAAAGUCAGCAGUCAGACGCCCCUGUGAAAAAUAGAGGUUGAGGAGACACAGGGUGAAGAACUGCAGGCAGAUGGGGGCGCAAUAGAGCAGCCACUGCGGGAAAGGCUGCAGUGCAUUGGCCUGGGCAAUACUUAUACCA